ACCUCAUGGUUAGGACAUUGCAUGAGUUUUCUGUUAAAUCUUUCCCACACUUUAUACAAGGGUUCACCAUUCAAUUUCCUAAAAUUAGUGAUCUCAUCCCGUAAUU
rfam:Capsicum annuum cultivar Zunla-1 chromosome 8, whole genome shotgun sequence